rnacentral:lncRNA from 1 species
CAUUUUUAAUCAUAUAUUCUCUCGAUCAUACAAUUUUGCAUAUAAAUUCGUAACUUUUUUUUAUAUUUACCAAGUCCAUUUUCAUAAAAGUCUAUGCCAAACUGGCCCUCAUAGUUUGAGCAAAAUUGUAGCGGCAGAAUUUGGGAACAAGGGUAUAUUUGUCAAAAAAAACUAGAAAUUAUUGAGAAACAAAAAAAAUGGUAGAACAGCAGACUUUUGAAUUAGAAAUUCGUAUAAAUACAGACGUGUUUUAACUAUUCUACAAUAAUGGCGUUUCCGAACCAUUUCUCACAGGAAAUGGCUCUACGGCAUCUUUCCGAACAAAACUCCUCUGCUUUAAGCAACGUACUCCCAGAACAAAUGACUGCUCGCUUGCCGGAGCACCACCAACCGCCGCCUACGUGGCUGAACAGCGCUAUUCUCCGCCAGCAGAGUCAAUUCACAUCCACCGGCAACGGGAAUUUCCUCAAUAUGCAAAACAACUCGCACUCCGCCUCAGCGCCGUUGCAGGUUUCGAAUAAUCAGUGGCUUUCACGGCCAGUUUUGCAGCGAAAUGUCAGUGACGUGAGGGAUGAUGUUCAGGUGUCCAGUGAUUCGAUGAUCGGCACUGAUUUAAACAACAACAACCACAAUAAUAACACUCACACUGGCAGAAAUGAAAACAGUGAGUUAACGGAUGGCGGCAGCGGCGGUGGUGAAGGAGUGAUUAAUUGGCGAAAUUCGAGGUACAAAGCGGAGAUUUUGUCGCAUCCUUUGUAUGAGCAGCUAUUGUCUGCACAUGUGGCGUGCUUGCGAAUCGCGACGCCGGUGGAUCAGCUCCCGAGGAUCGAUGCUAAGCUUGAACAGUCACAGCAAGUGGUCGCUAAAUACUCCGCGCUUCAACAUGGAAAUCACGGCGAUGAUAAAGAGCUUGAUCAGUUUAUGGUAAGACUUUUUCUUAUUUUUGACUCUCUUGUUACUAUAUUAUGCAAAACGUUGAAGAGUUUACUUAAUUUGACUUCUUUUGGUGGCAUUAGUUAGUGGCAUAUAUAAAUUGAGGAUUCCUAUCCAUGUGCUUUGGACUUCCGUUUGAUGUGAAAGGAUGCCUAACAUAGAAUGCAAUCAAACAAUUAUAGGAGAAGGAAAAAGGGGAAAGAAAAAGAGAAAGAGAAACGAGAGGAAAAGAGAAGAAGGGGCAAUAAAAAGGGAAGAAGCAUUAGACAGAAGCAAAAUUUAACACAGAGAAAAUAUCUUUAUUUCAUUAUCAAAAUUGUAAGAAUUAAAAAGCAUAAGCCCCUUUAUAUAGGGUUUAAACUGGUCCAAAUUGAAGUAGAAAAAUACUAUAAAAUCUAUGAAAUCAAACCCUAUUUAUGUUUUUUAAAAUAAGCAUUAAAAUUGGAAACUAAAUUAAAUAAUAUCUAUAUUUCCAUCAAUGUCUUUUGUGUUAUUUUCUAUUAAGAUCAUGAGAAUUAUUAUGUGCUAUCCAACUGUAUAUUUUGUUUGAAGUGUUGAAUUAGUAUCUUAACUUUGUUUCAAUUUAACUUCCCCUGUAUGGAUACGGCUAUAGUUGCAUAAUAUUCUUAUUGGGGAGUCAAUGUGGACUUUUACACAUUUAAAAAUAUCAAAGCUCUUAUUUAUUUAUUUUUUUCGCCCUUUUUUUGUAGACACAUUAUGUCUUGUUAUUAUGUUCAUUUAAAGAACAACUUCAGCAGCAUGUGCGUGUUCAUGCAAUGGAAGCAGUUAUGGCUUGCUGGCAGAUUGAGCAAUCAUUACAAAGCGUAACAGGUGAUGCUUCUCUAUUUUUCUUCCUGUUGAUGUCAGAUAAAAUAUAUUGUUAUUAACACGAGAAACGGACCGUCAAAUUCUGUCCACUGGUGUAUUUUACGAAAUCAGUUGUAUAGGUACUGAUCAGCACUACCCUCAUUCUCAUUUACUCUUUCAAUUGGAUGCCUCUACAUCAUAGAAGAUUUAAAGCAAGUCCACUGGUGCCUGUCACCAAUUUGAAGCUAGUAAUAUUUAGAUUGUAAAGUUGUCAUAUUUUGUUUUCUGUCAUUCCAAUUACUUCAUUUUACCCAUAGGCAUAAUUUGUAAACAUGUCCAGUAUAUUUAGUCCCUGCUGCAGCACCUUCAUUGGCAACCGAUUGGUUUUAAGCAGAAACAGGAAAAUGCAUGUGCAAAAAUCAGGAGACCAGUCAUGCUUCUUGAGUAACAGCUAGUUGCAGAUUGGAGAAAUUGAUGCACAAGAAGGUUCUUGCACACUAAAUAUCUGCAACACAUUCCCACAGUUUUGGGUUCCUCGCCUUCAAUGUAUAAUGAAAGAGAAAUCAUUGUAGAUUAGAAACAACGGAAUAUUCAAACAUAUAAUAGACACAAAAGCACUCGUUUGCUAGUAGAUUGCUGAAUGGGGCUUGAAGAAGUGUGUGUUAGUAGAUCAUCAUUGUAAAAUUGCAGGGUAGGGUUUCUCCUGCUUUCGUGAUAUUAUUACAAUUCUCAGUCUCUACUGACAUGGACACAAUUUGAUUACUGUUGUAAUUGUAGCCUUCAAUGGUUCUCAAUAUGAGGUAGAACUAAAUCUUCUGAAUGCUUUUAUUCCGCUAACUAUGCAUUGAACAGCCAAAAAAUGGCACAAUGCUAAAGUUUGCCAUCACAUGCUUCGUGAGCAGGAGUUUCUGCAGGAGAAGGAACAGGUGCUACAAUGUCUGAUGAUGAUGAGGACCAGGUAGAAAGUGAUGUAAACAUGUUUGAUGGAAGUGUAGAUGGUUCCGACAGUAUGGGAUUUGGUCCUCUGAUCCCAACAGAGAGUGAAAGGUCAAUAAUGGAGCAUGUACGGCAGGAGCUAAAGCAUGAGUUGAAACAGGUAUGAAGUACAUAACUGUUUGUCAAGAAUCAUUUUGUUCAACUGUAUACACUAACCAUUCCUUUUUAUUUUUCCUCCACACAGGGUUACAAAGAAAAGAUUGUGGACAUCAGGGAGGAAAUUUUACGCAAGAGAAAGGCGGGAAAGCUUCCUGGUGAUACUACAUUGACGUUAAAAGCUUGGUGGCAAUCACAUUCAAAGUGGCCAUACCCUACCGUAAGUUUCAGAAUGAAAAUUAAAUAUUGCAUUCUUGGACAAAUUAAUUAAGAAAGUGAAAACCAAUGACAGUUCAGUAUUGUUGACAUGCAAUUACCAAUUAGAGCGCUAGUGUAAGGCUUUCCAAAUUUAUUAGUUCUGCCUUUUAUUGGACUGGUCUGGAUUAGUUGUCGUGGCAAUGGGGAAGACGCCAUUUGAUUUUAGUUUACUUUUAGUAUCCUGCUCAGGUAAUUAAACUCCUGUGGUUAAUAUGUACUUUGCAGGAGGAAGAUAAGGUAAUAUUGGUGCAAGAAACAGGCUUACAACUGAAACAGAUAAAUAAUUGGUUCAUUAAUCAAAGGAAGAGGAACUGGCAUAGUAAUUCGUCCUCCUCCACAUCCUUGAAAAGCAAACACAAAAAGGUAUUCAAAUCUGUACGAAUGUACACAGCUUCAGUAGGAAGUUUUAAGGAUAUUUCCACUGAUUUAAUUGGAAUAAGUAAUGCAGGUGAAAACAGGGACGACCAUUUCACAUAAUUGAUGCGAGCUUCUCGAGUAACAGCUAUACAUAUUUCCCCUUCAUUUAGUAUAUUUUAAUCUGGAAAGUUCUCGCUUAUGGUUGCACUUGUUACAACAUGGAGGGACGGAAAGAGAUCACUAAUGUUGAUGGUAGAGGUUAUGGUGGAUGAUUUUGCUCCUCUCUGAUCCUGAGGAGAGGAAACAGCCUAUUACAGUAGAUGUUUGUUCCUUGGCAGUUAAGGUUUAUAGAUGCACGACGACUGGUUGGAUAUAGUAUGCCCGUCCCUUCAUGGACUCGUUCGAUUUUGUUAUUUCCGUAUGUGUAUAAAAAUAGGAAUUCUAUUUCCAGUGUACAGUUCAAUAAUCUAUGGAUUGGUGUGGGAAAUUGAUAUUAUCCGUGAACUUGUUUCGCUUAUUGAUAGUAUACAAUUGCUAUAAUUUUGAUUGAUCACAGAUUUGGAUACUUCUCAACUUCAUGUCUAUUCUUAUUAAGCUGCUGCAAUUGAUGCAUCUCUUCAAAAG